rnacentral:rRNA from 1 species
GUCGAGGAUCUUCGGCAAUGGGCGCAAGCCUGACCGAGCGACGCCGCGUGUGCGAUGAAGGCCUUCGGGUUGUAAAGCACUGUCGAGGGGGAGGAAGCCGCAAGGUUGACCUAUCCCUGGAGGAAGCACGGGCUAAGUUCGUGCCAGCAGCCGCGGUAAGACGAACCGUGCAAACGUUAUUCGGAAUCACUGGGCUUAAAGGGCGCGUAGGCGGGUCGGAUAGUCUGCGGUGAAAUCCUCCAGCUUAACUGGAGAACUGCCGUGGAUACUCCCGGCCUCGAGGAGGGUAGGGGCAUCUGGAACAGCCGGUGGAGCGGUGAAAUGCGUUGAUAUCGGCUGGAACUCCGGUGGCGAAGGCGAGAUGCUGGACCCUUUCUGACGCUGAGGCGCGAAAGCCAGGGGAGCGAACGGGAUUAGAAACCCCAGUAGUCC